rnacentral:hammerhead_ribozyme from 1 species
AUCCAACUGAAGAGUCCAAAAUAGAACGAAAUGCAUGUCAAACUGGAU